rnacentral:rRNA from 1 species
AGCGAACGCUGGCGGCGUGCCUAAUACAUGCAAGUCGAGCGGACCGGGAAAGACGCAAGGAUUUCCCGGUUAGCGGCGAACGGGUGAGUAACGCGUAGGUAAUCUGCCCUGAGGAGUGGGAUAACAUCCCCAACGGGAUGCUAAUACCACAUAACUUUCCCCUGACCGAAGUUGGGGGAAAUAAAGGAUGGCUUCUGCAUAGCAAGCUGUCGCCUCAGGAGGAGCCUGCGUCCUAUCAGCUAGUUGGUAGGGUAAAGGCCUACCAAGGCUAAGACGGGUAGCCGGUCUGAGAGGAUGGUCGGCCACACGGGGACUGAGACACGGCCCCGACUCCUACGGGAGGCAGCAGUAGGGAAUAUUGCGCAAUGGGCGAAAGCCUGACGCAGCGACGCCGCGUGGAGGAUGAAGUCCUUCGGGAUGUAAACUCCUUUUGGAGGGGACUAAACGACUAAUGGCUAAUACCCAUUAGUCCUGACGGUACCCUCCGAAUAAGCCCCGGCUAACUACGUGCCAACAGCCGCGGUAAAACGU